rnacentral:rRNA from 1 species
UACGAAGGGGGCUAGCGUUGCUCGGAAUCACUGGGCGUAAAGGGCGCGUAGGCGGCCAUUCAAGUCGGGGGUGAAAGCCUGUGGCUCAACCACAGAAUUGCCUCGAUACUGUUUGGCUUGAGUUUGGUAGAGGUUUGGUGGAACUGGCGAGUGUAGAGGUGAAAUUCGUAGAUAUUCGCAAGAACACCAGUGGCGAAGGCGGCCCAACUGGACCAAUAC